UCCUACGGGGGGCAGCAGUGAGGAAUAUUGGUCAAUGGGCGGAAGCCUGAACCAGCCAAGUCGCGUGAGGGAAUAAGGCCCUACGGGUCGUAAACCUCUUUUGCCGGGGAGCAAGGGCGGGGACGUGUCCCGGCCCGGAGAGUACCCGGAGAAAAAGCAUCGGCUAACUCCGUGCCAGCAGCCGCGGUAAUACGGAGGAUGCGAGCGUUAUCCGGAUUUAUUGGGUUUAAAGGGUGCGUAGGCGGGCUUUUAAGUCAGCGGUAAAAAUUCGGGGCUCAACCCCGUCCCGCCGUUGAAACUGGGGG
rnacentral:rRNA from 1 species